UUAAUAAACUCAAAGAGCUUAAAGUAUUUCUGACUCCAUAGAAAGCAUUUGGUCCGAUAUUUUGGAUCAAGUUCCUCUCAAGGUUGAGACCAGUCAAUGAGUCUAGUCCUUCGAAUGCUUUGACACCAGCUGACCCAGAGUGACCAGUUUCAAUCCAGCAAAGGCAUCAUCUGGAACUUUUGUAAUCUUGUUCAUCGAUAGAUCUAACACUGUAAGAUUCUUCAAAGUCUUCAACGUAUCAAUAGGUAUUUCUAUCAGCUCGUUAUCUUUCAGAUUAAGACUUUUCAAUGUAUUUUCUUGGCCUUUGAAUGCUUCAGGUUCAACUAUCGAAAUACGACAACCAGAUAAUUGUAUAUUAUUGAUUCUUAACGCUGAAAGAGAUCCAUUUUUUAAAGUACCAAUGGUACUGUUAUUAAUGUAAAAGAGAUCAACGGUGAUCUUUGAAGCGUAUCGCUUCAUAGCCGAGAGUAGCUGACUGUAAUCAACGAUGUCGCAUUGUACCGAAAGUUCUCUAGCAAGAUUGUAGUCACAAAUGCAGGAGUUUUCAAGUUCUGCGACGCUUUGAGCCCAAGGGCAGGCUGAGGUUGCAUUCACGAUGCAUAUCGUGCCUGUUAGAAGCAAUAACGUCUUGAUCGUAAGUGUAUCUGAAAAAAAAAAAAAGAAAAAAAUCAUUAAAGAUUUUUAUCUAUUUUUCGUAACAAAUUUUACAGUGUAAAAUAAUUUUUUCGUUGACUACAUUUUUGAUAGACAGAUAAUUUAAAUCAUUGAUUGAACUUUUUGCUAGAUAUAUCUAUGUCAAAAGUAUAUCAGGAGGAAAACGAGAUAUAUUACAUGUUCUACGAUUGUAGAAUCGUAUAAAAAUUCUAAGUUAGAUCAUCGCAAGUUGGUAAGACAGCUUUGGAAAAUCGUUGGCGACGAUGAAAACUGGACUCGUGCAGUCUUGAAAGGCUCGUAACGAAGCAGAGUCCAUAGGGCAUAGACCGAACCCGUUACGAGUCAAUGGCCGGAGUAUAUGCGUGUUCUCGGUUCAAUCUUCCUAUCGAUAGGACAUGAUAAUCGUAAAAAUUUAUUUUUUCUUUUUUAUGUCAUCGAGAACUUUUAAUGAAAAUAAGAUAGGUAGACUUACAGAGAAUGUCGUGAUUACAACGAUUAUGCAUUUUUUAAUGAAUGAAAUAGUUAAAUGAUUUGAUUACAAGUGUUUCUAAUUUUAAAUUGAUUUAAUGAAUUUAUGAUCUUUAUAAAUAGCAAAGAGAACCUGUUUGGAGAGUGUAUAUAUUAAAUAUUAAUUUUUAUCCAAUUUUUUUAUAUAUAUAUAUCAGAAUUCGAUAAAAAUAUAUAUAUAUCUCGGGUGAAAGUAAUCCAGUUUGGUCUUUUGGCACGCGAUCGCAUUUAGAUCAUUCAUAGCAAUUAGAACGGUCGAAGAUUUUCUUAGGACAGUUUCACUAUCUCUCACCAUUCUCACGUCUUCUUUCUCUCUCUUUACUUACGCAGAGCUAACUAGGAAAAGACCUAAUUUCGAUCUCUAUCUUGUUUCUCUUCUUUUCGAGUUGCUUAUUGCGUUAUCAAGCAACGCAACACGGUUUCAAACUUCGUACUUACAUACGUAUAUGGGGAGAAACAGAACAUUUCUUCGUUACUGAAAAUCAUUGCAGCGUGUAAGGAUCGCUCGUAAUACGCUCGUCGGUUCUGGUUUACACGCAUUCUGCCGAUCUAGUUGUAUCUUUAUUUCUUUUUAUUUCUUUAUUUUUGUUAUAACCCAUUGAACAGUUUUUAUUCAUCUCAUUUCCAUUGCCACGACAAAUGGUUAGAGUUGUAACUAUUUCUUUUUUGUUUUAAAUUAAUUACUCAUUUUAAUUAUUUUUUUAGUUUGUACGUUCGAUAUGUUAAUUAAUAAAAAUAUAAAGAUGUCGAUGAUUCGUCUAAGAUCUCCAAAAAUUUGAUUGAAUUUCGACCAACGCAAAAAUGAUACUUUUUGUUAUAAUAAUAAACUUUCUUGAACAGAGUCGGAUCGACUGACAAAAGAAAAUAAAUUCACAUGGAAAAGUAAAAAACGUCUGUGAGAAUAACUAAGAUACUUCCCGUUUCUAGUGCGAUGGAGUUAGGCGAUAGCUUUUAACCUGCUUUCGACUAGAACAAUUCUUAGACACAGUAAGUCACCUACAUUAAGCUCGAGCGUGUGCACAUUCCUUGCAUUCAUGCACAAUGAAUGGAGCUAUUUGGAACCUUUCACUCGUGCUUCACUUACGGAAGAAGAGCGACAAUCUGUCCCAGUUGUCUCUCAGAAUUAUCAUCACAUCAUAAUAUCUUAUUUAUUUUAUAUUUAUAAGUAAUCAUUGAGAGAAAUCUUAUAAUGCUAGACAUUCCUCAGGAUAUUACGUCAAAAAAAUUUCAUUUGGGUGUUCGUUCGUGGAUUAUAGUUAUUUAAAAUUCAAGGUGAACGUGUUCAUCGAAGAGAAAUUCGAAAUUUUGAACAUCGCGAUUGAAAGAUAAAUUUUAAUUUUACUUGGAGAGUUUGAAAAUAAAAAAAAAAAAAAAGAGAGAAAAUAGAAAUUUACUUCUACGUAUUUGUUAACACGAUCUAGAAAAUGUUAUUAUGUAUAUACACAUUAGGAUUUCUCCGGAAAUAGUUAGUAUUUGAAAAAUUGCUCUUCUCAUCAGUUUGGAUCUUCAUAGCAAAAGCACAAGAGCUACUGGCUAAGUUAAUUAAUUACUUAAAUCAAGUACCGUUGCAAUACGGAUCUUGGAAUACUUGUUAACGAGAGCAGAAUAAAAAUUAGCUUAAAUAACCGUAGAUUAUAUUAUAAUCUACUCUCAUACGAAUUAUAUAUAUAUAUAUCCGUCUUUGAUUACUAUACUCUCAUUUUUAGAUAGUAAAAAAAAAGAAAAGAUUUUUUAAGAAUAAAUUGUUUUUAAAUUUUCUUUAUACAUCUUUCUUUCUAAAUAAAUUCUAACGGAUUGUACACGGCACGUUUUUAUCGAAGCCGGAUUUGUUCGUUAAAUUAACCAUCAAGAUAUUCAUCUGUUACGCUCGUUAGCAGCAAACCAAUCUUGAUAGACACAUCAAUCGGUAAUUCGCGUGUUAACAUUAUCAGAGUAUGACCGGUUGAAGUUUUCUAGAGGUUGUGUUAGUGUCAGUGACCUUGGAAAUAUAUAAGCGAAGGUAUUUAUCGAGAUUAAAAAAGAAAAAGAUAUAUAUCAUUAUUAAAAUAUGUAUUAAUUCAUUUUCUAUUAACGAUUAUAGAAAGGAGACAGAAAAUGAGUUCAACGAAUUAAAUAUUAAUUUUGAAAGAAUCUUUCAAGUGUUGCAUCAUUUUCCGCACGAGAUCACAAAGUAAUGUUGAUCACAAAAUAAAAUAAGAGAUGAUCGUAUUACGUAGAAUGUUAUUGAACUUUCGGUAUAUGUGUGUGUGUAUAUACUAUAUCGAAAAGUGGUAUAUAAUAAUUGGCGGUAUCAUUAGUCUCAUCCCAUCUAGCGUAAAAAGAGGUAUUAGACUGCGAAACAAAAUAUAAUGAUUCUUUCACGAGUAAUUUGUAGUUAUUUUAUCAUUGAUCUUGUGAAUUCUUUUUUAUAUAUUCGAGGAUCAAAGAGAGGAAAAGAUAUCAUCGACGUUUAAUAAUCAUGUUAUUAAAAAUAUUCAAAAAAAAAAAAAUAGAAGAAGAAUGAAAGUGAUGGAAAUGUAGAUUCUUACAAUUAAGCGAUUUCUAAUGCAGUGUGAUUAGGAACGAUCUUAGAAUUUAUUCUUGUUUCGAAGUCUUUAGAAUUUUCUAUAGUUUGGAGAUUAGAUUGAUUGAAAUAUACGCGUAUAGUACACAUGCACAGGGUGCAACUAACUUGCUUAGGAAUCUAAGCCUUUCACUUUCGUUCUCUUUUGACUAUUCGUCUCUCUCUCUCUCUUUCUUUCUUUCUCUCUUUCUCUUUUAUUUUUCCUUCUUUCUUUCAACGCAAGAUCGAAAUGUAUGAUAAAGAUUUCUGCUAGAUGUACUAAGAGUAUAUUAGAAUGAGUCGAUAUAGUGGUUCGAUUAACUCUGAUUUGUGGCUAACAAUAUUUAUCUUUCCUUACAAUCGACUCUCGCACAGUUCUCACGCUAAUGUUCUGCUUUUGUUUUUUCUUUUCUAUUUUUGUACUUCUAUAUACUUUUUUUAAGGAUCUAACACAUGCACUUAUCACGUUCGUAUUGUCCUGUUUCGUUCGAAAUUAACUUAUGACCUUCUCUCCAUCUGUUUAUGUUAAUCAUUUAAAUGACAUUAAAAUAAAUUCGAAUAAAUAAGAAUUCUUGAAAUUCUUGAACGGGAUCUAUGUGAGAGUAGUUCGAUGAAUAUGUUAGAAGGUGUUGGUGAAUCCUUGCAUUGGUUGCGUAAAUUCUCUUACGUCUACCAUUCAUCUCGAACGCUAUACGAGAAAGUGGAAGAGAUUUCUCGAGUCGAAUCGAAUUUUUAAAUACUUCUUGCGAGUCCUCAGGAAUAACGUAUUACGUUUCUAGUUAUUUCUUUUUUGUCAGUGCUAUGAUUUUAUUUUUAUUUUUUAUUUUUUAUUAUUAUUUUUUUAAUCUCUGAGAUAAAUUCGUUCUCCUUCCAAGUAAAUGCAUUCAUUCUUUUUUUUUUGUACAUUCUUUCGUUCACGUUCAUGAUCACUUCUAUACUUGGAAACGAACAAUGGAGAAAUUGCACCGUAUACGUAAAUAAAAAAAAAACGAAUGAGGCAUCGUCUUGUAUGAUAGUAAUUUUUAAAAGAGAAAUUUAAUGAUGAAAGAAUAAAGAAAAAAGUUAAGAAGAGAUUUGUAUAUAUAUAUAUGUAUCUGUGUAUAAGUUCUUUCAAAAACAGACAAAUCAGAAUAUUGUGAGCAGCAUUAUACUACUUACAUCCUGUGCGCUCAUUCUUUUCAUCUCGCAUGCAAUCCGCGUAAACUAAUGGAAUAAAUUAAUCUACGGAAUUUCUUGCCUGUAGAAUGAGUGGAUUUCUAAUCGCGUGCAUUAUCUUCAUGACCGAACGAAAGACAUUUUUUCUUUCUUUCUUUUUUCUCUUUUUUUAUUUAAAUCCUAUACAUGUUUUCAAAUGUAGAAAUCAGAUACAAGUUGUGUGUCACGAUCGUUUACUUAGAUCCUUUUCUUUCGAUAAGUAAUUUAAUUAGCUUGUGUUCUAUCAGAGUAUUCAGUAGAUUCCUAAUGAAUGAUUUAUUUUUAUCUUUUUUUAAGAAAAUUUAAUAUAAACUAUUUAGUAUAAUAUAAUUGAGCGUGCAAUAUGUACAAUAUUCCAUAGACUGUCUUCUCUCUCGACCUACCAAACUUUCCAUAUGUUCGUAACGGUCCCAGCUUACCAAUCGGCACAGUAUGCUAACCGACUAUCUAAGUACUGUUACCUGCUCCAUCUCGAAAAACGCAUACACGCGAGGAACGUGUUGGCAAACAAGGAACUCUUUUCAUAUGUGACGAUCCUACCAACGUCGAUAUCUUAGCAAAUACAUUUAUAAGAAGAAAUUUCAUGGCAAGAGAGAAAUCAGUAUCUUAUGACUGUAUGAUAAUAAUUUUUUUAGCGAUUAGAAUAGAAUUUCAUUAAUCUAAUAAAUUUUUUUCUAAACUAGUAUAUAAUUUCAAUGUUGUUGUUGUUGUUGUUGUUAUUAUUAUUACUAUUAUUAAUAGUAGUAGUAGUAGUAGUAGUAAUAGUAGUAAUUAAUCUGUGCAUAUUUGAUUACUAGACGUCUCUUGUUGUUAUUAAUAUUGUUAAUAGUUGAUAAUUUAGUCUCUCUCUCUCUCUCUUUCAAUUAUAAUUAGAAUUGAUCAUCGUUUUGCGAAUAGUUUCUAAACUUGGUAGUAUUAUUCAGUAGGUUUCAAAUAUUCAAGUAGUAUGUAUAUGUUUAAGUCAUCGUAAGAUGUAGCGCGGAUGUGCAUCAAAGUGGCUCAUGAACAGAGUACACCAUGCAUGCAAAUUAGUAACGAAGUCCUCGUUUUCUUUACCGUUUUGCGAUUUAUUCACGAAAAAAGAAAAAAAAAUAGAAUUAUUUAAACAUUUACUUAUCUUAUUUAUUUACUUGUUAAUAAAUAUAUAAAAUGGAACAGUAUUGAUUCGAUUUGUUUGAUCGAAAUAACGAAAUUGAUAUCGAUCGAAUUAUUUUUUAGAAACAAAUAACAAUUUCAAUUUCAUUUUUUUGGAGUCAGAAAAUUAAUAAAAGUUACCUAAGCUAAUAAAUUAUUCGAGAUCGAAAUAAAAAAAAAAUGGGAAAUGAGAUAGGUCGCAAAUCAUUUUUAAAAUAGAGAUAACAAUAUCGAUCGUUGUUCCAGUCGGUCUCGCUUCGUCGACACUCGCUUUUCUCUCGAGAAUGUCUGGUAAAUCGAGAUAUCGAACAGGUUUCAAAGUUCUCCGACAAAUUCGAGUGUCUUGUUUCUACUAUACGACACGAUGCCGAUGCCGUCGAAUUCAACGAUGCGAAACAUUUAUUUUCGCGCCAACGAACGUUUUCCGAAUCGAUGGAGAAUCGAUUGUCACUCUUCUUCUUUUUUUUCUUCUUUUUUUCUUUUUGAUGUUAAAUAGACCGAGAUCGAAUCAAGAAUCGAAAAUCGAUUCGAUAGAAUAGUUUUUAUUUAGAUGCAUUAGAAAUAUCUGAGACAAAAUUUUUUCUUCGUUAGAAAAAAUAAUAUCUAAUUAUUUAUGUGAAACAUUUUAUUUUAAAUAUCGUUUAUUUAUGCAUUAUUAUACAAGAUGGGCCUGAAGUUCAUAGAUGAUUUUAUAAAUCUAUUCCUUUUUUAUAUACAAUUUCUGAUAACAAUAUUUGAUAUUUAAUUUAUGAACAAAAUAGAUUGCUUAGAUUUAUCACUAGGUGUGUUGACUUACAUAAGUAUAGAUAAAACUCUUGCACAUAUAAUUCUCUUUAUUUCUCCAUUUGCAAUUCUUUUUUUUUCUCUUUUUUCAUAAACUUGCAUCAUACUCGUAGAAUCUAAGACUAAUGCACUUGCACCCGUUAUCUCGAACGAAACGGAUUGGAAAGUGCUAUAACGAAUUGACGGAUAGAAAACGUUCAAUAAUUUUAACAGAGUGUAUGUUUUAUUAUCUUCAAAAAUUAUAGAUGUAGAAAAAAAAAGAAAAAAGACAUAUUUGAUUUGACAUUAUAAAUUAGAUUAUAACUUCAUUCGCAUAAAAAUCACGAUUGGCCUAAUACGGCUUUUUACAAUACAUUCUUAGAACAUUUCGUAAGCAUUACUGUGAAGAAGAUGACGUUCGUUUCGUAUUUCUCAAGCCUGUAGAAAUUAAUUACACAAUACCAAAUCGCAACACACAUGCGAGUUCGUAAUAUAAAAGAAAUGACACGUGAACGAUUUUUUUGAUCGUUCGUCAAUAAAAAUAGUCCUUAAAAAUUGACAACGUUUACAUUUUAACACCUUGAGUAUUAGUUCAUCAUUACAUUCUUAAAUAAAAUGUCUUUUUUUUUUCUUUUUAAACAAAAUAAAAGUGUCUUCUCAUAGCGCUAAAUCUCGUUCUAAUCAUAAAAAGAGAAAAUUUAUCCAUCAAAAAGAUAACUUUUCCUUAGACAACAUCGUUUUGAAAUCGUUAAUAUAUCUCUGUUUUAUUAGAGAAAGAGAGACAUACAUUUAUUAAAUUCUAAAACAGUAGAGCUAAACAUUAGUAUCGAAAGUAGUCAUAUUAGAUACCUUUUACGUUCCUCAUCUUACGUUAAUGAAAGGAACGUAAACCGGUUUAUCAUAACUGAUAUUAUAAAAAUUAGAUUAAAAAAAAGGAAUGUUAAUAAGAAAUGUAUUUAGUGAUAUAUGCGACAAAAAAAAAAAGAAAAAGAAAUGAUUUCCUUCGAAACUAGUACGGUACACAACGAAAGAGGAUAUUGCGAGGCAGGACACGAAAUAUCAUUCGUCUCUUAAGUCCAUUCAUUUUGUUGUUCCACAUAUCUCUCUUUCUUUAGUCAUUCGUGUGAGAAAUCUGUGUCGAUACUUCUUAACUCUAAUAAGUAUUGCUCUCGUAUUCGUAUUCAUAUUUGCUCGUUGGCAUACAAAAUCAUGUGAAUUAAUAGGAUAUUCAGAAUAAAAGAAAAUAAAUAAAUCAAUAAAUAAACGAUAUUCUAAAUAAUCAAAAUAUCUCCCGACGUAUAAAUAAUUAUGAUCUUUUUUCCUUUUUUUUGUUCUAUCCUUUCACUCGCGAAAAAGUCUAAUUAUAUGUUUUAUUAUGUUCUUUUAUUUUGAUGGUAACUCAUGGGAGGAUCAUUGAACAAUAGGAAAAAUGUGGAGAGACGAUGUUAAUACAAAAAUGAAGAGAUUGAAAUAAAAAGAAAGAGAAAGAAAGAAGGAUGUAAUGUAGUAGGGGAAGGGGUUAAUUAUAGGUUGAAAAAGUUGUCAAGUUAACAACGUAACUAGUAUUCUUUGAGUGAACCGGAACUGUUAAACUUCACACCAUAGAUAAGAUUGUAUAUGUAUGCAAUUGUUUUAUUCCGGUGAAACGCUUCUUCCGGUUAUAUAAAUGUUCUCGUGAAUUAUUUGGACGGUAGUUUGAGAUAAUCACGUGUGGAAAUCAUGCGUGAAUUCGUUGCAAUUAAAUCGACUUCUUUGCUUUUGCUUAUAUAAUGAUAAUUAUGUAAUCAAGUGAACAGUCAUUAGAGAGAUUAAGAUUAAGAUCGAUCGAUCUAUCGAAAUAGAUCUCUGAUUUUCGUUUUAUUCGUAAAAUAAAAUUAAAAUGAAAGGCUUAUGAUUUUAUCUGAACUUUUUUUUCUAAAUCUGAUAGAUAAAUUAUUUUCGUUAUAAUUUAGAGAUUAAGUUCGAUCUUAAUCGUAAAAAAAUAUUUCUAAUUUUGCACUUAAUUCAUUUUAUAGAUCGUUGAAAAGCGAUUUCUUUUUCAUCUUUUAAAAAUUUAAAAAGAUCUAUCGAUCGAUUUGUCAACCUAAUUAUUUAGCUUAUGCCCAUGCAUCCAUCGGUAUCCGUAAUUACGUUGGUAGUCUCACGACGGAAGUUAAGAAGCGGUUCCGGAAAUGAGAGCUCCGACGUUCUCGACUAACUCUGUUUCCUUCGGCCUUACCGAGAUGUGGGUUAGCAUUGGGUCAUAGCAAAGUUCAAAGGAUUCUUCACGAUAUCACCGUUUAAAAUAGUAAUAUUCAAACUUAAAAUUAUUAGAGAUCGACGGAAUAUUUUUUCUAAAUUUUUAAGUCCAGUUUAUUAGUGCAAUACAUUUUUUAUUUUAUUGUAAAAAGAAUAACUGGUUGUAACUGUAGUUUGCGAACCACUGGAUUUGCAGGAAGCUUUCGAAUUAGAAAACAAAUUUUCUUUUUUCUUAUUUGACGUUGAAUCGAGUUUCGAUCGUAGAAAAACGUAACAUCGAAAAUUAUUAGCUCGUGUUUAGUUUUUUAUUCUCUUAUCGAGUAAGCUUUUGCCGGUUGAACGUUCGAUAAACUCUUCAUCCCUUUCACGUUAUUGUUUAACGUGAAAUUCGACGAGUUCAUAGAACGCAAUAAAUGUUAGAAAUUUAUUCUCAAUCGAUUAUUAUUAAGGAUACGCAGAAUAUACGUUUAGAUACGGUUAUUUCCUUUCGAUAUCGUUGAAAGUAAAACGCGUAUUGCGAAUGUGAUUUUGAUUAUUUUUCUUUUUAUAAGUAAUAACUAUUUUGUGAGCCGGAACAAAAGAAAGUUAUAUUGCAGACUAUGUUUUUUUAAAACGUAUACGCAAUAAAAGAAAAAGUGAAAGAAUGUUAGAAGAUAUUAGAAAUAUAAUAAUGUCUUGAAUAAAAAUAAAGUAUCUAGGAACUUUUGGCUCUCACCUUAGAUUUCUUUAUAAUUAUAUUUAAUAAUAUAUUUAUAAAAAAAUAAGUUCUUUUAAAUAUAGAUCUGUAUAAAAAUUUUUCUCUUCCUCUCUCUCUCUCUUUUUUUUCUUAAGCAAAAUUAUAUUUUAUAAAGUUUUUUGUUUAUUCUAAAUAUUCAAAAGAGAUAUUGUUUAAUAUAUAGAGAAUGCAUAUCGAACGUUCCUCGUGGUUGCAAUAAACUUAGAAAAAUGAAUUCCUGUACUUUCAACAUUCACUUUUGCGGCUGAUCAGCCGUACUAUGCGAGAAACGCGACCGCAAAACGCAACCCUGGCCACACGAAGGGGGCGAGUACAACACCUUUCUAAACAAGAUCUAAUAAAUUUUCUAUUCUCGAAUGAGAACUUAGAAGAAUCAUAGAAAGGAAAAAAAAUGGUUGAAACAAACCACUAAAAGGCUACGAUUACACCGCAAAGAAAACGUUCGAUGACUGAUCGAUGUAUAAACAAAUUUAUUUCUUUUUUAUUAUUACUAUUAUUAUUAUUAUUAUUAUUAUUAUCGAUCUCUCGAAACAUAUGACCGCAGUUCCAUAUUAUUGAAUUUUUCUAUUUCCUUAUUGUUAUCACGAUGAAAUUAAUAUAACAAUUUUUCUCUCCUCUAAAUUCAAUCGAGAUGAAAUUAUAAAAAUGAUGUUAAAUUAUAUCUAAAUAUAUCUCAACAGAGUAUCUAUAUCAUUUGUUACAUUAUUGUAUUAUGUAAAUUAAAAGAAUGUACGUGCACAGGUGUUUUCAAUCCAAUGACGCGAAACUUUCACUAACACGACCGGUUGUUACUUUUUCAUUCUUUAAACCAUAAGCUGAGAUUUAGAUCAUGAUUUGAUUCUUUUUAAGAUGUUUUAUAUAUCAACUUGUUUAUUAAUCGCAACGAUUAGAUCCUUAAAAUUCUGACAAAAAAUAAAAUCGCAAAUAAAUUUCUCACAUUUAUCUUAUAAA